rnacentral:rRNA from 1 species
AGAGUUUGAUCAUGGCUCACANUGAACGCUGGCGGNGUGCUUAACACAUGCAAGUCGAACGANAACGGGAUUAGCUUGCUAAUCUGUCAGCUAAGUGGCGCACGGGCGAGUAAUAUAUAGGUAACGUGCCUUCAAGAGGGGGAUAACAGAUGGAAACNUCUGCUAAAACCCCAUAUGCCUUUAAUACNAAAGUAUGCAAGGGAAAUAUUUAUAGCUUGAAGAUCGGCCUGUACAGUAUCAGAUAGUUGGUGAGGUAAUAGCUCACCAAGUCAAUGACGCUUAACUGGUNNGAGAGGAUGAUCAGUCACAUUGGAACUGANACACGGUCCAGACUCCUACGGGAGGCAGCAGUGGNGAAUAUUGCACAAUAGGGGAAACCCUGAUGCAGCAACGCCGCGUGGAGGAUGACACAUUUCGGUGCGUAAACUCCUUUUAUAUAAGAAGAUAAUGACGGUAUUAUAUGAAUAAGCACCGGCUAACUCCGUGCCAGCAGCCGCGGAAAUACGGAGGGUGCAAGCGUUAAUCGGAAUUACUGGGCGUAAAGCGCGCGUAGGUGGUUCGAUAAGCGGGAUGUGAAAGCCCCGGGCUUAACCUGGGAACGGCAUUCCGAACUGUCGGGCUAGAGUAUGGUAGAGGGUAGUGGAAUUUCCUGUGUAGCGGUGAAAUGCGUAGAUAUAGGAAGGAACACCAGUGGCGAAGGCGGCUACCUGGACCAAUACUGACACUGAGGUGCGAAAGCGUGGGGAGCAAACAGGAUUAGAUACCCUGGUAGUCCACGCCGUAAACGAUGUCAACUAGCCGUUGGGACUCUUGAAGUCUUAGUGGCGCAGCUAACGCACUAAGUUGACCCGCCUGGGGAGUACCGGCCGCAAGGGUAAAACUCAAAUGAAUUGACGGGGGCCCGCACAAGCGGUGGAGCAUGUGGUUUAAUUCGACGCAACGCGAAGAACCUUACCUGGGCUUGACAUUCAGAGAACUUUCCAGAGAUGGAUUGGUGCCUUCGGGAACUCUGUGACAGGUGCUGCAUGGCCGCCGUCAGCUCGUGUCGUGAGAUGUUGGGUUAAGUCCCGUAACGAGCGCAACCCCUAUCCCUGGUUGUUACCAGGUAAUGCUGAGAGCUCCAGGGAGACUGCCGGUGACAAACCGGAGGAAGGUGGGGAUGACGUCAGGUCAUCAUGGCCCUUACGACCAGGGCUACACACGUGCUACAAUGGGGUAUACAAAGAGCAGCGAUACAGUGAUGUGGAGCAAAUCUAAAAAAUACCUCCCAGUUCGGAUUGUAGUCUGCAACUCGACUACAUGAAGUUGGAAUCGCUAGUAAUCGUAGAUCAGCAAUGCUACGGUGAAUACGUUCCCGGGUCUUGUACUCACCGCCCGUCACACCAUGGGAGUUGAUUUCACUCGAAGCGGGGAUGCUAAGAUAGCUACCCUCCACAGUGGAAUUAGCGACUGGGGUGAAGUCGUAACAAGGUAACCGUA